rnacentral:rRNA from 1 species
AUGAAUUUCUUAAGUUGGAACUGUCGGGGAGGGGGUAAUACCCGGACAGUUCGUGAGUUGGCGACGUUAUCUCAGUCGCAUUCCCCCAACUUUAUUUUCCUAUGUGAAACUAGACAGAAGGCUAGCAAGAUGAAAAGGAUCCGGGCAAGAUUGGGCCUUAAGGGCUUUGAGGGUGUGGACAGCAAUGGUAUGAGUGGGGGUCUGGCCCUCUACUGGCAUGAGUCU